AGGGCUCCGGGGACGGUCCAUAAUUCGCGUUGCACGACAGGGUUGACCAAAUUUGAGUUUUCGUGAGGGCGUGGACGGAGUGAGUAAACAUGUCCCCACGCUGUCAUGCUCCCAAAUUACGGCGCCUACUCUGUUUUCUGAUUCACUGAACCGAGCGAGUUCUCGUCGCAUCGUAUGCGCCUCCUUCUCUGAUUCCCCAAAAAUAUUCCCUGUUUUGCUGUUCUUUUCUUCCUCGUAAUCCGCUCGGCUUCCAUUGUUGCCGCCGCUACCGACGGCGACGGCAGACAUCAAGUGUCAGUCCUCCUUCCGCCGAAGUCUUCUUUUGGUUGGACUCCGACUCUCCGACAGGAGUUGCGCUCCUCCUCCCCCUCUACUCUACUGGAUUACACUAGCGUGGAGAUCCAUCUCUAUUUGUUUUUGGUCUCUUCUUUGCUUGGGGCAAGGUCAAUCACAGUUGAUAAGAUACCACUUGUACUCUAAUCUGUCAGUCUCCACGUGCGGCUGCAUAUAUACUGUUUCAAAAUUUCGGAGUAAGGUCUGAAGUCUGAACCCUCAUGCUGCUUCAGAGGGAUUGAGGCUGGUUGUUGGUCGCACUUGCACAUGGCGCAGCCACAGCAGCGGGUGUACCAAGCUUGGAAGGGGGAUAACAGGUUCUUCUUUGGUGGGCGGUUGAUAUUUGGACCAAAUGUUAAAUCUCUAGGUGUUUCUGUUGCCCUCAUUGUUAUCCCAGUUGCUGUUUUUUGUGUGUUUGUCGCACACCAUCUCCGUCAUCAGUUUCAUGCAUAUGAUGCAGGAUAUGCAAUUCUUGUCAUAGCAAUAGUGCUCACAAUUAGGGAUGAAAACGGUUUCGGAAUUUUUCGGAAUUCCGGAAACCGAUUUCGAAAUUUUUCGAUCGGAUUCAUCGGUAACGGUAUUUUUCGAAAACGGAAUCGGUUUUCGGAAUUUUCUAUCGGAAUCGGUAUCGGAAUCGGCGUGGUGUUUUACCGACCGUUUCCAUCGGUUACCGGUUUUUGUCGGAAAUUACCGGAUUUAUGUCUCGGAAAUUUCCGGAAUUGUGUUUCGGAAUUUUUUCGGAAUUUUCCAGCAUGUGAUUUUUUCGCAUCGCCUGUACAUCUCUGGAUAAGGAUUACUUAUUUUGUAUUUUUUGGACGCUUUAAGAUUUUUUUGGGUUAGAUGGUGUUGGAAGGCAGUUGAGAUUAACGAUUUGGUCUCUCGAACGAAUCCACCAUUUUCUAUGCACAUGUUAUGUAUUAGUAAUAUAUAACGAUAGAGAGCCGACAGUCUGUCUUUUCCACACACUAGAUUUUAGGGUUUUCCUGUGAGGCUGUGAAAAAACCUUUUAUGUAAGGAAAAAAUAUUUCAUGAGUAAGUAUGUCACGUCAACUAAAUCGAGUGGAUAUUGUGAAUUGUGAACUUUGAAUAUGUUAACUUGUGAUCUUUAUGAACUUGUUAUACUGUGAACUUGUUAUAUUGUGAACUUAUGAUCUUUGUAAACUUUUUAUAUUAUAAAUUUGUGAUCCUUGUGAACUUGUUAUAUCAUGAAUUGUGAACUUGUGGUAUUUGUGAUGUUUUGUCAAUUUUGUUUUAUUGUGAAGUUUGAUAUGUUUACCAAUCAUAUUUUAGAUUUCGACCGUUACCGGUGUAUUUUCCGCACCGAACUUUCGUUUCCGAUGUUUCCGAAAUACCGAUAUCGUUUCCGUUUCCGGAGUUACCGUUUUCGAUUUUGUUUCCGAUAAAAAAUAUGAAAACGGUAAUGGUUUUAGUGUUUACCGACCGUUUACGACCGUUUUCAUCCCUACUCACAAUCUAUGUGCUUCUAUUACUCUUAACCACUGCCGCUCGGGAUCCGGGAAUUGUACCUCGUGCUUCACAUCCACCUGAGGAUAUUCACUAUGAUAAUUUGUCUCUUACUGACACACCUGGAAUACUACAGUUCCCCUGUGUAAAAGAAGUUAUAGUAAAUGGGAUGCCUGUGAAAGUAAAAUAUUGUGAAACUUGUAUGGUUUUUCGCCCACCUCGGUGUUCACACUGUUCCAUUUGCAACAAUUGUGUGGAACGCUUUGAUCACCACUGUCCAUGGGUAGGACAGUGCAUUGGAAAGGUAAGCUAUUGUAUUGGAAUCAAAUCAUGAAUUUUGCAUUCUAUGGAUACACUAAGAAGUAAGAACAGUGCAUUGGAAUCAAAUCAUAUAUAAAAACAUUGACUGCACUAAGAACAAAUUUGCCAUCUCUCUAGCAAAAGGGAAAACUGAUAAUUUCUUAAAUAACAUGUGCAGUUUAUAAUUUGCAUGUUUGAUCUGACAUAGUAACUUCACCAAACUAGAAUGAAGGCAUGUUUGGAAGUAAAGUGUUUUUAUAGUUUAUACUUUAUAGGCAAUACCAUGAUUUAUAGGUAGGGGUGGGCAAAAUAAAAUUGAUACCGAAAAACCAAACCGAACCAAAUAAACUGAAAAAUUCAUUUUUUUUAAUUUCGGUUUUCGGUUCGUUUUUUAAUUCUCGAUAAUCCGGUUACUCGGUUUUGGUUCGGUUUUCAAUCCAUAGAAACUGGAUACACCGAAUAAACCGAGCACUUGGAGCUUUCCUGCUUGUGUGCGUCAGCCUUCAGUGCUCAUGUCAUGCGUUGUCUAGGCCCAGGAGCAAGUAGCCCAAGCCAAGGCAUCCAGGCCCAGCGACCAAAAUCAGAUUCUAAUUUUCACGUGAACAUGCAGGAGGCAGCCUAGCUCGGCAGCUCCCACAGCCGAGAGCUGACCACGCGGAUCUAGAAUUUCGGUUUAAAACCGAAAAAACCGAACCGAAAUAAUCCGGUUAAUACGGUCCGGUUUCUAUUUUUUCAACAUGUAUUUCAGUUCUUGCUUUUUUAAAACCGAACUUUUUCAAAACCGUAUUAACCGAACUGGACCUAAUAAACCAAAUGCCCACCCUUAUUUAUAGGAAUACCAUGGUAUUUUAUAUCAUGAGGUAUUUGGUUGCAUCCCUGAAAAUUGUGUUCGCGAAACUGUGGUAUUCUAUAUACCGUGGUAUCAUCGGAGUAUUGGAAACUCAACUCUAGCCUAAAGUUUUCAUGGCAUGACUAUCUUUUGCCUAAAUACUGUAUCCAAACAAUAGCUUAUAUUCUUGGAGUUGGCCAAAACUAUGGUAUUGGUAUUGACAAUUACAAAGUAUAGUAAAACCAUGGUUUUGAGAGAAACAUUGUUACUAAACAAGCCCUGAGAGAAGUUCCUCGCAUCCAUGUGAUGAUCUCUUAUGAUAAGGUUUUAUUUCGCUAAUCUUCUCAUUUUGAACAACUUAUGCAUCUGAUAUUGAGGAAAUGUGAUUCCCAUGAACAUUUCUUGGAAUUAUUUUCUUCAUUCUAAAUUGAUUAAGUCAUUCCGUAUAUUUAUCUCUUUACUUGCUGAUUUCUACUUAUCCUACUUGUCCAUUGUGCAGCGCAAUUGCCGUUAUUUUUUCCUAUUUGUUGUCUCUUCAAGUCUCCUCUGCAUUUAUUUGUUUGUUAUAUCGGCCUUGUACAUCAAGUUUCUCAUGGAUGGAGACUAUCCUACAGUUUGGAAGGCAUUGAAACAUUCCCCUGCUUCUCUAGCACUAAUGAUAUACUGUUUUAUCUCUCUCUGGUUUGUUGGUGGGCUCACAGGAUUUCAUACAUAUCUCAUCAGCACUAAUCAGACCACAUACGAAAAUUUUCGGUACAGGUCGGAUGGCAGGCUUAAUGUCUAUGAUCAAGGGUGUCUGAGUAACUUUCAAGAAGUAGUGUGUGCCAAGAUAGAGCCUUCUAAACAUAAGUUCCGGGCGCACAUACAAGAGGAAGUGCGAGGUCCACUAGCUAACCGUGCUGGAGAGACUGAAGAAGAACAAGUUGGUGGUCCUCGAGCGUAAGCGGGGGAUGGCCUCGAUAUUGAUGGUGAUCUGAUGAAGAUUUCACAUAGGCAUAACCAUGAGGACAUCGAUAUUGAAAUAGGAUGUGGGGAUGCUAAUGAGGUGGAAUGCUCAGUUUCAGAUUCCAAAGUUAAAGACAAUAUGGAUGCACAUAUGUGAUAUGUAGAGUUAGAAAUAAGGUAAAUGGAGAACAGUCGAGUUGGGUUCCAGCGGUUUAAUGAAUGUGUUUGUUUAGUUCAUAAGUAGGCAAAAUGCCGUCUCCUCCGGUGGUUUCAGCAUUAUUCUUUUUGUAAAUGGCUAGUGCAGGAUACUUAGGAUGCUACCCUGCAGGUUCUCUUGUGCAUUCCGACCAGCGUGUGUGUUGAAUUCUUACCCUCGGAUCCUUCAGAAGACGUUUGUGUAUAGUGUCUUGGUUGAGAAAUCCCAAGAUGGUGUAUGAAUUCAGAUUGGUAGUUCUAAACUUGUUGUCUUUCAGUUCCACACAGGCAGAAGUCA